rnacentral:lncRNA from 1 species
ACAGUACCACCCCGCCCCAUCACGUGAUAAUAGAACCUGAGUACAGUAGAUAGAACAGGAAAAUACCAAGGGCACGCCCCUUCUGUGAUGCAAACCACACUGGUCCUUGUAGUCUGAUAGCAGGAGCAAGAGGAACAAUAACAUACUCUCCUAUGACAAGUCAAGGAGGGAACAAACAGUAAAGCCAGCAGGCAUCAAGGGAGCAGGCAGUCUCCUCAAUGCCCAGAGUGGCACUAGUAACCACCCCAGGAUAGAACCCAAGGACAAGCAACGGAGCACCUUGGGCUGGACUCUUAAGUUGGGAGACUUUGGAGCCACAGUCUAGCCUCGCUCUCAAGAGGAAGACCAGCUAGGGGUCAAGGGAAGACCCCCAGGGUGACAAGCUCCGAUUGUAGUCGGCAGAUGGCCUUUGAUUGGCUGGAUACCAUCAGUGUUCCUUCUGGGUGAGCUAUUGAGUAACAAAGUUUCAGAAUGCAUUUGGUUAUUCACACUGUAAUUAAAGGAAGGUCCUUGCUUUGCCCGCAGCUUUCCCAACACAAACAGAAGAGGCGUGAGUCAGCGCAGGCAGCUGCCCCGAGCCUCUUAGGACUUUGUUUCCUCUUCAGCGGAAAAAGAAAAACAAGGUAUUAUAUUUGGACGUGGACACCUGGAUAGUAUUGCCAAGUACAGCCAUGGAAGAAGAGGCGAGCACACAUGCUGUUCUGCUCGACUAUGCUAUUUCUUCUGCCCUUGAAGUCAGCCUUCAGCUGACGCAUCCUUCUACAUAAGACAAGCUAAAGGAGAGAAUACACCACAGUCAAGGGCCUGGCUGUGAAGAUUUGGUGGCGUGUCCUUCGAGACACUGAGUCAACAGGCAUAAACAUUAACCUGUGUGUGUCUCUGCGAUCACCACAGUGUAUGAAGGUAGCGUCCUAGGUUUGACCUCGGCUCUGCACCAAACAGCCAGGUGGCCAUGUUUCCUAACUUGCAAAAGCAAGCUUGCACCUGGAAGGGCACGCGCUCUAUUGCUAGUCUGUAAUUGCAGGAUUAAAAAAAAUUGAAAAUAUGUAACCA